AGGUCAGGUCUCCUGUUCCCCUGGUACAUUCUCUAUAGCUGCCCAAUUUCCCUGCUUUUUAAAGUUUGAUAGAAAUAUCUGUGGGCUAUAGUUUAUGGCAGCAAGACCUUGCUGAAGACAAGAGAUGGAACAGGAAUGGCAAAUGUUCUGUCUUCUGGGAACUGAUGAUAAAUUACUGGAAUGAAGUAGAAUGUUGCCAUGUACUUCAGCAUUGUAUGCCCAUGAGAAUUACUUGCAUUACGAGAGGAAGAAGGUAAGGUGGAAGCAGAAGCCGUCCCACUGGGGUUACUAGAAUGAGGACGGAAGGAAUCGUCUGAAAGACAAGGAUGAAAAGUUAGCUGAGCAACUGGCAGUAUGUGGGUACUGAUGUUACUGGAGCUGUGAUUUUGAUGGUUGCUUGUAUUGGGUGUUU